UGGGUGACUUACAGGUACCUCUGAUGG
rnacentral:piRNA from 1 species